AUGCAGGACGAUAAUGGCCGUUCUGUUUCCAGUCCCUUCCCUAACGAUUCCGCUAGGGGAUUUGUCUUUUCCACGGCCGCUGCCCCUCCCCAUCAAAACUGGGUGCUUGAGCGCGGGGUCCAAUUGGGGGGUAGCGCGCCUCCCUUCGGAGGGAGAGCCAAAAAGCCGAGCAAGCGGUGCAGAAGUCGAGGCACGAGGCAUCUUCGGAGCUGGCGGGACGCGCGCGGGGGGGGGGGGGAGGCGGCGUGUCAGACGGGGGUAGCCCCCCCUUCUCUGGCCAACAGCCCAGUGGGUGAGAGGUCACUGCAGGGGCUGGGGGGGGGGAGAGGGCGGCUUCUGCACAGCCCGGGCGUGUGGCACGUGCAAGGCGUGUACAGCCGUCGAGGGGGGGAGGCGUGCAAAGGCAGCAGGGAGCCCCUCCCCACGCUCCCUCCCCGCCCCCGAGCUUUCAGGAGGGGUGGGGCCGGGCGAUGCGCUCCGAGACCCUGGAUCGGCCCCGCGACGCCAGUUCCCACGGCCGCCCCGUCCAACAAACCUUCCCUUCCGGGCGGGGCGGGGUCAGCGCCGCCCCGUCGGAGGAGCCAUAAGAGGCGGACGCGUGGCCGGCGGACGGGCUGCAAGUCGCCGCUGUCGGGAGAGGAAGAGGAGGAGAUCCGGAGCAAGUCCCGGAUCUGUGCUCGCCAUCACCAUGCAGUGGGUGGUGAAGAUCUACCUCCUGGGCCUGGUACUGUCUCUUCUGUCUCUGCUCUUCGGGCUGAUGGGCUUCCUGGGAGACCUGAUGCCCUCCCAUGGGGCUGGACCCCUGCCUCCCUGGCCGCUGGGUGGAAUCGGAGGGCGGAAGCCUUGCGGACGGAGCCCCCCCAGGCCUCUCGGGGGAUAACAAGCUCAGGACAAGCAAAGAGAUUGGCCCCUAUGCAUGAGCCGAGGGGCUUCGCUGGCGGCAAAACCAAAAUGGCACGGAUUAUGUGGGUUUUUUUGAGGGAUGGGGUUAACGUGGAUGGGGCUGGGUUUGUAUGUGCCUUUGCCAACCUGCCCUGGUGAAAGAGGGGGCUGGCAGCAGAAGCCCAGCUGGCCUGGGGGAGGAAGAUGCCCCCACUUGGGGAAGCCUCUGCACCCUGUUAAUUUGGAGAUUUGUGGGGCAGGUGUUGGAACCCCUGUGGAUCGAUAUGGAGACAUUGCCAACGAGAAUCAAGCCCAGACUCUGCAAAAGGGACGCCUAUUGAUCUUCUGCUGCGGGACACGGAGAAGAACACUGAGGACUAGUGACUUGGGGCCAAGAAUAUGGCUGACUUCUUCUGCUUCAUAGCCUUUUCCGAACACAAAAUGGCUUGAUUCUCAACAAACUGGGCUGAGUCACGCUCACUGAGCUCUAGACUCUUGGCUACACAGACAGAAAAGGUGUGCCCAGUGGCCGAGCCUGGCUGUUGGACGGACCUGCAUUUGGCAAAAUUGGGGGCGCAGGAUUGGGCACCCCGAGCAAAAUUCUGGGCUCCCUUCAUAGAAACAUUUCCCCCUGUUCUUCGGCGCAAUAAUGGAUCUGUGUUCUCAUCCUGUGAAAGUCUGCUAGGAAUCUGUCUGCUUACCCCAAGGUUUAGCCAUGCUGUCGCCAGCCCACCUGCAAGCAGCAGUUGGUGGAAGAGGCCUGCUGGACUGUGGAUCAUUAUUAUAUUGCGGGAGGGUCCCUAACUCGUCCCCUGCAAGGGAGGGCAGCUGUGGGCAAGGCAACCCCAGGGGCUGGCGGGGGGGGGGCGUGAGAAGAGAAAGAGACCUGCCCCUGGUGUUGCCAGGCUACCCUGCCCUCCUUGAGGUGCUUCAAACAAAAUCCCUGUGCUUUUAAUAUCUGUAGUUUACGAAGACACCCCAAAAAGGAUGCCAUUUGGUCUGGAAGGAGCAAAGGCAGCUGCAAAGGAAGGGCUCUCGCAUGCCCCCUGGUGGCAGCUGCUAAGAGUUUCAAUGGAAACAGCUAAAAGUAUUUUUCAGGACAGACUUGGGGAAAUUCUAGCCUUGGGGUGAGUGGUUCAGGGGUGCCUUUUUUGUGGUGCAAACCACCUCCUGGAUCUUCUGAUCUUGCUGGAAAUGCAGAAGGCUGUAUCCUAAAUUCUUCACUGCGCCUCCGUCUCUGAAGAAAGAAGGAUGGACAUUUUAAGCCUGUUGAGCUGCCCUCUCCUGAAAGGGAACGUUCGUGAUUCCUUCAAUAAAUGGCAACUCUUUUUAAAUAAAUAUAUAUAAAACUCAAAAUAUGAGCUCUUUAUUUGUGGGGAGGGAUUUUUUUUGGGAGCAGGGAAAUGGGGUGCUUGAAAAAGCUCCCCCUGUCACCCCCUACUUCAUAGCUGUCAACUUUUCCCUUUUCUUGCAAGGAAUCCUAUUCGGAAUAAGGGAAUUUCCCUUUAAAAAAGGGAAACAUUGACAGCUAUAACCCACUUGCUGGAAAGGGCUUUUGGUUUUGUGAAGGAAAGGUGACUGAAUUCAAAAGAUGCCUUAAGAAGAAAUCAGCUGAGGUGCUCCUCCUCCCCAGAGGACAAGUAUGGAAAACCCCCAUGAAUGUUUAUGGUUGAAGAAGCAUUCUGUGCUACCCAGAAGCUUACUUCCAGAAGGGCGAAAAAGAACAGAAAUUCACACACACAACACCUGGCUGUGUUGCUGAUGCCUCUGCUGGACAGCAGCUGCCCCCUCCCAGGAACAGCCCCCCCUUGCUGGCCAAUGUGACAUCACAGCUUGAGCCAGGUAGCCCCGCCCCUCUGCAGGGUGUCAUCGCUGAUGCUGCGGGAGCAGAGGAGCCCGGCUGCUGCUGGCUGGCUUGGCUGGCUGGGCCAGGGAGGGCCGAGAGUGGCAACGGAGGCCCCCCCGAGGCAU
rnacentral:lncRNA from 1 species